rnacentral:rRNA from 1 species
CCCUACGGGGCGCAGCAGUCGAGAAUAAUUCACAAUGGGGGCAACCCUGAUGGUGCAACGCCGCGUGGAGGAUGACGGUCUUCGGAUUGUAAACUCCUGUCAUCUGGGAGUAAGGCAUGGUUGUUAAUAGCAAACAUGAUUGAUAGUACCAGAAGAGGAAGGGACGGCUAACUUCGUGCCAGCAGCCGCGGUAAUACGAAGGUCCCGAGCGUUGUUCGGAAUCACUGGGCGUAAAGGGAGCGUAGGCGGCGUGGUAAGUCAGAUGUGAAAUCCCGGGGCUCAACCCCGGAACUGCAUCCGAUACUGCCGUGCUAGAGUAAUGGAGAGGUAGCUGGAAUUCACGGUGUAGCAGUGAAAUGCGUGGAUAUCGUGAGGAACACUCGUGGCGAAAGCGAGCUACUGGACAUUUACUGACGCUGAGGCUCGAAGGCUAGGGUAGCGAAAGGGAUUAGAAACCCUUGUAGUC